rnacentral:rRNA from 1 species
GACGAACGCUGGCGGCGUGCCUAAUACAUGCAAGUUGAGCGCUGAAGGUUGGUACUUGUACCGACUGGAUGAGCAGCGAACGGGUGAGUAACGCGUGGGGAAUCUGCCUUUGAGCGGGGGACAACAUGUGGAAACGAAUGCUAAUACCGCAUAAAAACUUUAAACACAAGUUUUAAGUUUGAAAGAUGCAAUUGCAUCACUCAAAGAUGAUCCCGCGUUGUAUUAGCUAGUUGGUGAGGUAAAGGCCAACCAAGGCGAUGAUACAUAGCCGACCUGAGAGGGUGAUCGGCCACAUUGGGACUGAGACACGGCCCAAACUCCUACGGGAGGCAGCAGUAGGGAAUCUUCGGCAAUGGACGAAAGUCUGACCGAGCAACGCCGCGUGAGUGAAGAAGGUUUUCGGAUCGUAAAACUCUGUUGGUAGAGAAGAACGUUGGUGAGAGUGGAAAGCUCAUCAAGUGACGGUAACUACCCAGAAAGGGACGGCUAACUACGUGCCAGCCGCCGCUGUAAAAC